rnacentral:rRNA from 1 species
CCUACGGGGGGCAGCAGUAGGGAAUUUUCCACAAUGGACGAAAGUCUGAUGGAGCAACGCCGCGUGCAGGAUGAAGGCCUUCGGGUUGUAAACUGCUUUUAUAUGUGAAGAUUAUGACGGUAGCAUAUGAAUAAGGAUCGGCUAACUCCGUGCCAGCAGCCGCGGUCAUACGGAGGAUCCAAGCGUUAUCCGGAAUUACUGGGCGUAAAGAGUUGCGUAGGUGGCAUUGUAAGUCUGUAGUGAAAUCGUGCGGCUCAACCGCAUAUCCAUUAUAGAAACUGCAAAGCUAGAGGGCGAGAGAGGUAGCUAGAAUUCCUAGUGUAGGAGUGAAAUCCGUAGAUAUUAGGAGGAAUACCGAUGGCGUAGGCAGGCUACUGGCUCGUCCCUGACACUAAGGCACGAAAGCGUGGGGAGCGACCGGGAUUAGAUACCCUAGUAGU